GAUGAACGCUGGCGGCGUGCUUAACACAUGCAAGUCGAACGAAGCACUUUAUUUGAUUUCCUUCGGGACUGAUUAUUUUGUGACUGAGUGGCGGACGGGUGAGUAACUCGUGGGUAACCUGCCUUGUACAGGGGGAUAACAGUUGGAUACGGCUGCUAAUACCGCAUAAGCGCACAGCAUCGCAUGAUGCAGUGUGAAAAAGUCCGGUGGUAUAAGAUGGACCCGCGUUGGAUUAGCUAGUUGGUGCGGUAACGGCCCACCAAGGCGACGAUCCAUAGCCGGCCUGAGAGGGUGACCGGCCACAUUGGGACUGAGACACGGCCCAAACUCCUACGGGAGGCAGCAGUGGGGAAUAUUGCACAAUGGGCGAAAGCCUGAAGCAGCGACGCCGCGUGAGCGAAGAAGUAGUUCGGGAUGUAAAGCUCUAUCAGCAGGGAAGAUAAUGACGGUACCUGACGAAGAAGCACCGGCUAAAUACGUG
rnacentral:rRNA from 1 species